GAAAGGCCUGCAGCUUGCUGCGGGUACUCGAGUGGCGAACGGGUGAGUAACACGUGGGUGAUCUGCCUUGCACUUCGGGAUAAGCUUGGGAAACUGGGUCUAAUACCGGAUAGGACAGCUGUUUAGUGUCAGUUGUGGAAAGUUUUUUCGGUGCAAGAUGAGCUCGCGGCCUAUCAGCUUGUUGGUGGGGUAAUGGCCUACCAAGGCGUCGACGGGUAGCCGGCCUGAGAGGGUGUACGGCCACAUUGGGACUGAGAUACGGCCCAGACUCCUACGGGAGGCAGCAGUGGGGAAUAUUGCACAAUGGGCGGAAGCCUGAUGCAGCGACGCCGCGUGGGGGAUGAAGGCCUUCGGGUUGUAAACUCCUUUCGACAGGGACGAAGCGUAAGUGACGGUACCUGUAUAAGAAGCACCGGCUAACUACGUGCCAGCAGCCGCGGUAAUACGUAGGGUGCGAGCGUUGUCCGGAAUUACUGGGCGUAAAGAGCUCGUAGGUGGUUUGUCGCGUCGUCUGUGAAAUUCCGGGGCUUAACUCCGGGCGUGCAGGCGAUACGGGCUGACUUGAGUGCUGUAGGGGAGACUGGAAUUCCUGGUGUAGCGGUGAAAUGCGCAGAUAUCAGGAGGAACACCGAUGGCGAAGGCAGGUCUCUGGGCAGUAACUGACGCUGAGGAGCGAAAGCAUGGGUAGCGAACAGGAUUAGAUACCCUGGUAGUCCAUGCCGUAAACGGUGGGCGCUAGGUGUAGGGGGCUUCCACGUCUUCUGUGCCGUAGCUAACGCAUUAAGCGCCCCGCCU
rnacentral:rRNA from 1 species